rnacentral:rRNA from 1 species
CAGUAGCCGCGGUAAUACGUAGGGUGCAAGCGUUAAUCGGAAUUACUGGGCGUAAAGCGUGCGCAGGCGGUUAUAUAAGACAGAUGUGAAAUCCCCGGGCUCAACCUGGGAACUGCAUUUGUGACUGUAUAGCUAGAGUACGGCAGAGGGGGAUGGAAUUCCGCGUGUAGCAGUGAAAUGCGUAGAUAUGCGGAGGAACACCGAUGGCGAAGGCAAUCCCCUGGGCCUGUACUGACGCUCAUGCACGAAAGCGUGGGAAGCAAACAGGAUUAGAUACCCCAGUAGUCCCUGUCUCUUAUAC